UACGAAGGGGGCUAGCGUUGUUCGGAAUUAUUGGGCGUAAAGCGCGCGCAGGCGGCUUGGAAAGUCGGGUGUUUAAGCUCGGGGCUCAACCCCGAUACGCACCCGAAACUGCCAGGCUUGAGUGCAGAAGAGGAAAGUGGAAUUCCACGUGUAGCGGUGAAAUGCGUAGAGAAUGUGGAGGAACACCAGUGGCGAAGGCGACUUUCUGGGCUGUAACUGACGCUGAGGCGCGAAAGCGUGGGGAGCAAACAGG
rnacentral:rRNA from 1 species